ACAGCAGUCGCCACGGUAAUACAGAGGGUGCGAGCGUUAAUCGGAUUUACUGGGCGUAAAGCGUGCGUAGGCGGCUUUUUAAGUCGGAUGUGAAAUCCCUGAGCUUAACUUAGGAAUUGCAUUCGAUACUGGGAAGCUAGAGUAUGGGAGAGGAUGGUAGAAUUCCAGGUGUAGCGGUGAAAUGCGUAGAGAUCUGGAGGAAUACCGAUGGCGAAGGCAGCCAUCUGGCCUAAUACUGACGCUGAGGUACGAAAGCAUGGGGAGCAAACAGGAUUAGAUACCCGGGUAGUCCCUGUCUCUUAUAC
rnacentral:rRNA from 1 species